UACCAGACUCCUACGGGAGGCAGCAGUGGGGAAUAUUGCACAAUGGGGGAAACCCUGAUGCAGCGACGCCGCGUGAGCGAUGAAGUAUUUCGGUAUGUAAAGCUCUAUCAGCAGGGAAGAAAAUGACGGUACCUGACUAAGAAGCCCCGGCUAACUACGUGCCAGCAGCCGCGGUAAUACGUAGGGGGCAAGCGUUAUCCGGAUUUACUGGGUGUAAAGGGGGCGCAGACGGCGAUGCAAGCCAGGAGUGAAAGCCCGGGGCCCAACCCCGGGACUGCUCUUGGAACUGCGUGGCUGGAGUGCAGGAGGGGCAGGCGGAAUUCCUGGUGUAGCGGUGAAAUGCGUAGAUAUCAGGAGGAACACCGGUGGCGAAGGCGGCCUGCUGGACUGCAACUGACGUUGAGGCCCGAAAGCGUGGGGAGCAAACAGGAUUAGAUACCCCAGUAU
rnacentral:rRNA from 1 species